rnacentral:rRNA from 1 species
UAACAGGUCUUCGGAUGCUGACGAGUGGCGGACGGGUGAGUAACGCGUAGGAAUCUGCCCAUCUGUGGGGGAUACCAGUUGGAAACGACUGUUAAUACCGCAUAAUAUCUGCGGAUUAAAGGUGGCCUUUGUGCUGCCGCAGAUGGAUGAGCCUGCGUUGGAUUAGCUAGUUGGUAGGGUAAGGGCCUACCAAGGCUACGAUCCAUAGCUGAUUUGAGAGGAUGAUCAGCCACAUUGGGACUGAGACACGGCCCAAACUCCUACGGGAGGCAGCAGUGGGGAAUAUUGGACAAUGGGGGAAACCCUGAUCCAGCAAUGCCAUGUGUGUGAAGAAGGCUCUAGGGUUGUAAAGCACUUUAGUUGGGGAGGAAAGCCUAUAAGUUAAUAGCUUGUAGGAAGGACGUUACCCAAAGAAUAAGGACCGGCUAACUCCGUGCCAGCAGCCGCGGUAAUACGGGGGGUCCGAGCGUUAAUCGGAAUUACUGGGCGUAAAGGGUCUGUAGGUGGUUUGUUAAGUCAGAUGUGAAAGCCCAGGGCUCAACCUUGGAACUGCAUUUGAUACUGGCAAACUAGAGUAUGGUAGAGGAAUGGGGAAUUUCUGGUGUAGCGGUGAAAUGCGUAGAGAUCAGAAGGAACACCAAUGGCGAAGGCAACAUUCUGGAUCAAUACUGACACUGAGGGACGAAAGCGUGGGGAUCAAACAGGAUUAGAUACCCUGGUAGUCCACGCUGUAAACGAUGAGUACUAGCUGUUGGAUUCGGUGUAAAGGAUCUAGUGGCGCAGCUAACGCGUUAAGUACUCCGCCUGGGGACUACGGCCGCAAGGCUAAAACUCAAAGGAAUUGACGGGGACCCGCACAAGCGGUGGAGCAUGUGGUUUAAUUCGAUGCAACGCGAAGAACCUUACCUGGUCUUGACAUCCUGCGAACUUUCUAGAGAUAGAUUGGUGCCUUCGGGAACGCAGUGACAGGUGCUGCACGGCUGUCGUCAGCUCGUGUUGUGAAAUGUUGGGUUAAGUCCCGCAACGAGCGCAACCCCUAUUGAUAGUUACCAUCAUUAAGUUGGGUACUCUAUUGAGACUGCCGCUGACAAGGCGGAGGAAGGUGGGGACGACGUCAAGUCAUCAUGGCCCUACGACCAGGGCUACACACGUGCUACAAUGGGUAUUACAGAGGGCUGCGAAGGUGCGAGCUGGAGCGAAACUCAGAAAGGUACUCUUAGUCCGGAUUGCAGUCUGCAACUCGACUGCAUGAAGUCGGAAUCGCUAGUAAUCGCAGGUCAGAAUACUGCGGUGAAUACGUUCCCGGGUCUUGUACACACCGCCCGUCACACCAUGGGAGUGGGUUGCUCCAGAAGUAGAUAGUUUAACGAAUGGGCGUUUACCACGGAGUGAUUCAUGACUGGGGUGAAGUCGUAACAAGGUAGCCGUAGGGGAACCUGCGGCUG